rnacentral:lncRNA from 1 species
GGAAUCUAUAGAUGCCCCUACAUGUCAGCUCCCAAGGCAAAUAUUGCAGCUGUCGUACCCAACAUCCAAGAGCUGAGUAGAUUUCGUCAAAACCUCGAUUCACUGCAAUGCUUAUGGAAACAGCUGUUCUAGGUAUUUGGUAUGAGUUGGGUACUGAAGCUGCUAAAAUGGUACAGAAUUUCCAGGCUAGGAACCGAUUGCUGCUGCACUCACCUGUGACCGCCCAGCUCCAGACAUAGACUUGCCUCCUGCUACACCCACCGAGAUAGCAGACCCACUACCUGCUGUGUCCAUCAAGCACUGUGCCGACAGGGCAAUCUUGUGACUAUUGUGGGAGGGACGUUUCAGUCACAUGUGAAACACCCCGUUUGGGGGUAUAUAACCACUAUGUGCACCCCACUUCUUUGGUGCCCUUUCUUCCUUCGGGAAGAAAGGCCCCGGGCCAUGGUUCCUCAUAAAGCUUUGUUUAAUUUUCUCUUGCUAUUCUGUCUCAUGUGAAUUUAAUUCGUUCUCCGGCCAGACGAACCCCCAUUUGGGGAGAGGAAAUGUCCUCCUCCCCUACAAUACCUAUCUCAUGGGUUGCUCUUAGUAUCUCUAAAGUGCUUAGAUCAGGGCCACCCACGUGUUAGUGGUAAUUGUUACCACCCUAUAUCCUUAUUCCUGGUUAGGCCCCAGAGUGCAUCUCUAACCCCUGUGCCAUGGGAGAUGUCUUAGUCAGUUCUGGCUGCUGUAACAGAAUAGCACAGACUGCGUGGCUCUAAUGACAGAAGUUUAUUCCUCACAAUGGAGGUUGGAAGUCCAAGGUCAGGGUGCCAGCAUGGUCUGGUGAGGAUUCUCUUCCUGGUGUGUCUCCUUCUUUUGUGCCCUCACAUGGUAGAAAGAGAGUGCUCUAGCCGCUUCCUUUUCCUGUAAAGAUACUAAUCCCAUCAUGGGGGUUCUACCCUCAUGACCUCACAUAAACCUUAUUACCUUCCAAAGGCCCCGUUUCCUAAUAACAUCAUAUUGGGAGUUAGGGUUUCAGCAUAUGAUUUUUGGGUACAUAGCAGGAGAGGAUGAGAUUUUCCUUUGAGAGCAUGAUCUUCAAUAACCAGAGCUUUGGAAGAACCAUCUCCCCUAAGUUUGGUGCUGUUUUAUGUAUUAAUAUUCUUAGAUUGGGUUUGUAAGAGAUUGGGUGCUUUGAAAAAAAAAAUAGAGGAAGAAAAAGGAAAAAACAAAAAAGAAGCACAAAAGAACCCUGGUAUAGGUUGUUAUGUUGUCAUUUGCCUCUCUAUAGCCUUAACAUUUAGAAAACAAUUUCUGAUUACUAAAUUAUGGUAAAUUGAGGGUUUCAAUGGAUUAAUCAAGGUUUUCUAUAAUAUGCUGUGAUAGAAGACAACGAAUAAUUAGGUGAAUUACCAAACAUAAAAAGUAUAUAAUGAGAAAAGGCAAUUUAUUAGCACUUUCC